CCUACGGGCGGCAGCAGUGGGGAAUAUUGGACAAUGGGCGAAAGCCUGAUCCAGCCAUGCCGCGUGUGUGAAGAAGGCCUUCGGGUUGUAAAGCACUUUCAGUGGGGAAGAAAGCCUUGGGGCUAAUACCCUCGAGGAAGGACAUCACCCACAGAAGAAGCACCGGCUAACUCCGUGCCAGCAGCCGCGGUAAUACGGAGGGUGCGAGCGUUAAUCGGAAUUACUGGGCGUAAAGCGCGCGUAGGCGGUCUGAUAAGCCGGUUGUGAAAGCCCCGGGCUCAACCUGGGAACGGCAUCCGGAACUGUCAGGCUAGAGUGCAGGAGAGGAAGGUAGAAUUCCCGGUGUAGCGGUGAAAUGCGUAGAGAUCGGGAGGAAUACCAGUGGCGAAGGCGGCCUUCUGGACUGACACUGACGCUGAGGUGCGAAAGCGUGGGUAGCAAACAGGAUUAGAUACCCUGGUAGUC
rnacentral:rRNA from 1 species